GACGAACGCUGGCGGCGUGCUUAACACAUGCAAGUCGAACGGUGAAGCGCCUUCCUUUUUGGUGGGUGUGGAUGAGUGGCGAACGGGUGAGUAACACGUGAGUAACCUGCCCCCUUCUUCUGGAUAACCGCAUGAAAGUGUGGCUAAUACUGGAUAUUCUGGAUCUGUCGCAUGAUGGGUCUGGGACAGAUAUUCUUUCAGUGGGAGAUGUGCUCGCGGCCUAUCAGCUUGUUGGUGGGGUAAUGGCCUGCCAAGGCGAUGACGGAUAGCCGGCCUGGGAGGGGGAACGGCGACGUGGGGAAUGAGACACGGCCGGGACGCCUACGGGAGGAAGAAGUGGGGAAUAUUGCAAAAUGGGGGAAAGACGGAUGCAGGGACGCCGCGUGAAGGAAGAAGUAGCUCGGGAUGUAAACUUCUAUCAGAAGGGAAGAUAGUGACGGUACCUGAAGAAGAAGCCCCGGCUAACUACGUG
rnacentral:rRNA from 1 species